rnacentral:rRNA from 1 species
AGAGUUUGAUCAUGGCUCAGGAUGAACGCUAGCGGCGUGCCUAACACAUGCAAGUCGAACGUGAGGAAGCCUUCGGGCUUCUGAAAGUGGCGGACGGGUGAGGAAUACGUAGGUGACCUGCCUUCGAGUGGGGGAUAACCACGGGAAACUGUGGCUAAUACCGCAUACGUUGAACCAGUCGGGAGACGGUUCAAUAAAGCUUUAGUGCUGGGAGAGGGGCCUACGUCCGAUUAGUUAGUUGGUGAGGUAACGGCUCACCAAGGCGAUGAUCGGUAGCUGGUCUGAGAGGACGAUCAGCCACACGGGAACUGAGACACGGUCCCGACUCCUACGGGGGGCAGCAGUGAGGAAUAUUCGGCAAUGGGGGCAACCCUGACCGAGCAACGCCGCGUGGAGGAUGACGGUUUUUGGAUUGUAAACUCCUUUUCUGUGGGAAGAGACAGGACGGUACCACAGGAAUAAGUCACGGCUAACUACGUGCCAGCCGCCGCGGUAAUAC